GGAGGUGCACAGGGACGGAAACUACCACCGAGCGGUGAACGUGUGGAUCUACAGCGAGAGCACCGGGGAGCUGCUGCUGCAGCGCCGAGCUGAUUGCGAGGAAUUGUGGCCUGGGCAGUGAGACAUCAUUAGCGCCGGCCACAUCUCCGCCGGCGAUUCCUCGCACUCUCGGCAGAGGGACCUUCUGGAAGAUCCAGGCAUCAACCAUUUCAGUCGAUGCUUUCGAGCUCAUGUGUGUGUUUCUUCAGGAACGCCCGUGUGCACAAGUAGACUAGACCUCAGAAGGUGUUCGAUAAUAUGCCAAGGAGAUGGAGAGCAGUCGCAACGAACUCGACUCACCGCCAUUGUACAUCCGCAGCACAAGCAGCACUAUGCUUUGAUUAUUUUGUUGAGUAUGUGCUGUCCAAACAGAGGUGCGCUGUGCGCAUGGUUUAACAAUCAACAGAAGAAGAAAAAAAACACAAGAAAAUGAGUGUAUAAUAGGUAGUGUCAAAUUUGAUGGGUAUAGUAGAUAUUUCAUAUUACUAUCUGAUAUUUUUAAAGUUAGAGUUACUCUACAAGCUAAACGGUGCAAAAACUCUGCAAACUUCAUGAUGGAGCAACUCUACAAUAGAAUUAGUGGAGCAGAGCUAGAGCAGUCCCAAAUAUCCCUUUAAAAGCUAUUUGUCUGUUUCAUCACAUUUUUAUUAGAAUUUCCAUACAUUAGAAUCUACACCUUGGUAAUUGGCAAUGCGGAUGGUAUCUUAUACAGUUAUACGAAGCCUAAACGCAGACCCAUACUCCAUUUCUCCUAAUAUAUAACUUAUUUAACUUUUUUAUAUCAAAUUUGAUUGUCUUGUCUUAUUCAAAAUUUUAACUUGUCUUAUUCAAAAUUUUAAGAAAAAAAUAAAAAAAAUCACUAAAGUAUGUUAUAUGGCAAACGAUAUCGCGGUAAUGUUUAAUAAUAAUUAUGAAAUUUUUUGAAUAAGACGAGCCAAACUUUAGGGUAAAAAAGUCAAAUGAAAUAUAAAUAGGAAUGGAGUACCAUUUAUCAUUGUAUCAUUUAUGGAUUUAUCCACAGACAAGCUCCAAGUCCAGUUGAUUUUUAUCACAGAUCAAGUUAGGUGACAACCACAGGAAUCAUAGGAAUCAUCUAAAUGAGCCAACAGAGCUAGUGUUAAAAGCGAAAUUCAAUAGGAAGCUUUCUUUAGUUCGAUCUCGAAUUUUCGAUGCUAUACAAGCUCGGAUUAACCGCAAGUGUGGAAAGAUAAAAUCUCUUGCUUUAUAUUUUAUACAUGGUUCAAAAAGUCUAUUUAUUGUAACAAAGAAAUAACUAUGAAAGACGUUAAGUCGACAGUACAUUCACCAAGGGGGGGAAAUCAGGAGCAAGAUGGGGAAAUGAUGAAAUGUUAACGCCGUAUCUCCCCUGCUGAUACUUUGAGGUGCUCUUAUUCCCCAAAAUUCUUCGCAGCAAAAAAA